rnacentral:lncRNA from 1 species
GACAUCAAGCAUAUGCAUAGAUGAGGCACUAGCAGAAAAGAUGCAAAACAAUCAAGAUGAUCAAGAACAAUGCCAAUGCCACUUCAUGUUACUUAAAUGCACAUAGUUAACUGCAAAAAAUCUGAGCACAAGUAAAUAUUCAAGGUGCGGAAAUGUCAAAUGAGCUGUGUAACAGCAUCUAUGUAUAUUUAUAAUGAGGUUUUUAGCAAUAUCUAGCUGAGAUGUCAGCUAGUGAGUCCCAUUAGAUGGCAAACUAAUACUACUCCCUCCGUCCCAGCCCAAUAGGCUCGCUUUCCUUUUUGGGACGUCCCACUCCAAUAGGCCCAGUCUAAAAUUGGAAAUAAUUAGGGCUCUAAUUAAAAUUAUAACUACUUGAUUAAGGGAAUAUACACCCCUAAUUAAAACUCUAAAAACUCUCAUUUUGGAAUUCACUCCUGCCGCUGUUCUUCUCCCCUCUCCUUCUCCCAUCUUCCGCCUUUUCCAUUCUCUCUCUCAACGACGAGCGCCACCGCCAUUUCCGCCGCCGUCGUCGCUCUCUUUCUCCCCUCUCCCGGUUAUGGUAGUCUUCUCCCCCUCCAGAUCCCAGAACCUCUACCGUCGUCUCUAGCGACGUAAACCCUAGCCGCCUCCACCGCGUUCUACCGUCUCCACCGCGUCGUCGGUCUCCACCACCUCCAUCCGCCUUGUACACCAGAUCUGGAAUUUUCUUUCUCUGAGUUUGAUUUUGGGUGGAGACGAUCGGGGUUGCUGAUUUUGGGUGGGGUUGCAGAUAUGGUGGCUGAAGCACGAUUUUGUUGAUUUAUUAAUUUUCAAACUCUGAGAAAUGGAUAGAAGGUCGAUUUGUUGAUUUGUUGAUUUUGUUGAUUGUCAAAUGGGUAGAAGGACGAUUUUCUAAGUUCUUUCUCAGAAUUUUGUUGGUUGCUGCUAUUGAAUUCGUAGUGUUUGAUUUAAUUUCCAGAAUUUCCCCUGAUUUGGGUGCUGCUAUUGAAUUCGUAGUGUUUGAUUCCUCUAAUUAAUUUCCAGAAUUUCCCCUGAUUUGGGUGUUCCUCUAAUGAAGCAAAUAUGAUUAAGGAAAAAUAAGGGAACAUUUAAAACCUUAAUUAUUGGUGGACCACACCAUUUUACCUACUAAAAAUGAGUUUCUUAAUCUCCGUGCCGAAAUGAACUGGGCCUAUUGGCCUGGGACGGAGGAAGUAUAUGUCUAGAACAAACUCUAAGCUAAUACAAAAGACACGGAGUAAUUCACAAAAUUCACCUACAUAUAGCUCAUGACAUAAAAUUAAAAAAAAGGAAGAACCUAUUCACAAGGAUGACAUUGCAUAGACUGCACCACAUAAUGAUAAAAUCAAUACAUUAUUGGCUACAUUGCAAAAUGUUUAACGAUUAAAGUAAUGAGACAUUGAAACCUCUACUUCCACCCAACCACGUCAACGAUUAAAGUAACGAUUAGGCUAGGGAAAUUUGUAAUAGUAAUGCACAUAAUCACUGAGCAUCACAUUCCCUUUGGUCAGCGAUAACAGGACAUCAAAUACAUGGAUGUAGCUCCUCCAACUUUUAGUUACUUGAGUCAUUCUUUUCCAGAAAUAAGAUGUUGAUUUCAAUAAACUCUUCUGUACUAAGAUCCUACCACAAGCUCAAUCAAAUAGAAAAGAAACGUAAUUAACCCAAAAAUUAUGACAAUAUACCACCCAAAACAGCAUGAGCAUCCAAAAAUUUAACUGACUAGAAAAAAUGUUCAUAAUAAGAAAGCAAAAAACAAAACAGUAACAAAAACAGAAACAUACUAGAGAUCUGGAGAAGUGCAGCAGAGUGUACCCUGAGAAAGAGCCCGAGAACUCCUAGACGAUGAGCUCAGGCACGACGUCAUCCUCGCCGUAGCCACCGCACUGUGCAGUGGCAGCAACGACGCCACACCUCCCAACUCCGCCGGUGCCCUAUCACCCACGCAAUCAUUUCAACAUUAUUGCAAACUAAAACUAAACAAAAAAGAAGUAAAGCAGUAUGAGAAUCUAGGGUUUACCUAGAGAGAGAGAAGCGGCGGAGGGGAGAGGCGACUGGACUUGAAAAUAGAGAGGGCCUAUUGGACGGAGUGGUGGCUGAUCUGUUAAGAGAAGAAGAAGAAGAAGCUGGCUUCGAAAUGGCCGAUUUUAGGGCAGAAACAGAAGAUCGCUGGAAAAUUCUGCUGCAUCUGGAUGCCAUCUUCGUUACAGAAAGACACACACUAGAGAACUAAUUAUGCUAUGGAUUUUGAUGAGAUAAAUUAGGGUUUAGGGUUUUAGUGUAAAUUUAGGUUUAGACACAUUCAUGUAAGCGUCCCAUUAAUUGAGACGUGAUUCGUUACUUGCGUACCCAAAAUCGGUCAAUCAGAGUUUCACAAUAUACCAAAGUUACUUUCUAUCAUGUUUUCGAUAGGGUGUUUCAUGCCAAAAUUAUUAAAAUUUCGUAAUAUAAUCUCUUUUCAAUUUUCUUGUACAAAUCAAGGUCAUCAUCAAUUGAAUCUUAUAUAAGUUGAAAUCUUUCUUUACGAGUUAAUCGUUAAUGCACACCGAUGUUUCUAUUAUUUUUGAACUAGUUUAAAAAUAACCAAUAAUUAUUUUACUCAAUUAAAAUGAUUCAAUAGCAAUCGAAUCGUUGAGUUUGAAAGUGCUUUUUUUUUGUGCAAUUAAUAGAGGAUUUGAUACCUCAAUUCACUUUUUGUCCACUACUAAAAAAAAUGAACAAUUUCUUCGUCAUUGGGCUGAGUUUUAUCCGAAUUAAAAUUAUUAAAAUUGUUUCAAUUUUAAUUUCAUAAUCGGCACAUUAGUUAUUGAAAUUGGGACAACCUCGAACCAUAAAUGAUAAAAUAAAAUGAUCUGGGUGAGUUAAUUACUUAUGGGUAUUAUUUGGGCGAAGACUCAAAAUUAAGAAACUCAUAACACAAAUGUCAAAAUCCACGCGAUAAAAUAUUUCUUCAAUUCAAAAAUCAAAAUUUCACUGUCGCUGGCGCUGCUAGAUCUUCUUCCCUAAACAUCGUUGUUACUCAAAAUAUUUGAGUAACCGCUAAUGUAGUACAAAAAAUAUGAAACUGUCAAAUAUAUUACAAAAAAUAUUCGUGUAAAUACAUGAAAGNAAAAGAUGCAAAACAAUCAAGAUGAUCAAGAACAAUGCCAAUGCCACUUCAUGUUACUUAAAUGCACAUAGUUAACUGCAAAAAAUCUGAGCACAAGUAAAUAUUCAAGGUGCGGAAAUGUCAAAUGAGCAUAAACAGACACUACUUGUCUACUUCAACAAGGGUAUGUCAGUGCCGCAAAGCUGUGUAACAGCAUCUAUGUAUAUUUAUAAUGAGGUUUUUAGCAAUAUCUAGCUGAGAUGUCAGCUAGUGAGUCCCAUUAGAUGGCAAACUAAUACUAUAUCUCUAGAACAAACUCUAAGCUAAUACAAAAGACACGGAGUAAUUCACAAAACUCACCUACAUCUAGCUCAUGACAUAA